UGGUUGAUGUUAUGGGAUGGAUCUGGUUUUUUUCCUGGGUGUUCCGGUCUAGUCCGGCUCAAUCUAACGCCAUCAGGGUUUUGGGGAGGCCGAGCGUAGGAUGCAAAGCAGAGAGGCAGAAUCGUAAAGUGAUACAAAACCCGAGCACUCAGAUGCUCUCUGGUGGCGAUUCCUGAGCUGAGACUGAGUGGAGCAUAAAGGGAGGAAGGAAUGGGAGGAAGGGGUAUAAAACGUGGGGCCUUAGAAAUAUUCAGGACAGUCGGGCCGAAGUCAGUGGUUUACCGAGGCGAGACUUGUUUCUUCGUGUUUUAUCUUGGCAGCUCUCUGAGGCUGGAGAGUGACAGAAGAGUUGUUAGUGCAACUCAUGUUGGGAUCACGCCUAUGAUCCCAGAGGAGCUCCAGAAUGCACGGAUUCUUAAUGCAGCGAGCCUUGCCGCGACGGGGGAAUUGAGGGAAAUCUGGUGAGGAAUUACACUUUGAAGGUGUUGGGGAAAGACACAUGGAUCUUGGAAGAUGCUUCUUUGAAAUAUGCAGGAAAGG